rnacentral:rRNA from 1 species
UACGAAGGGGGCUAGCGUUGUUCGGAAUUACUGGGCGUAAAGGGCGCGUAGGCGGUCCUGCACGUCAGGCGUGAAAGCCCCGGGCUUAACCUGGGAAUUGCGCUUGAUACGUCAGGGCUUGAGGUCGAGAGAGGGUGGUGGAAUUCCCAGUGUAGAGGUGAAAUUCGUAGAUAUUGGGAGGAACACCGGUGGCGAAGGCGGCCACCUGGCUCGUACCUGACGCUGAGGCGCGAAAGCGUGGGGAGCAAACAGG